GCCCGCUGCUUAGCUCAGUCGGUAGAGCACGAGACUCUUAAUCUCGGGGUCGUGAGUUCCGGAGAGAAACCCCACGUUGGGCA